GACGAACGCUGGCGGCGUGCUUAACACAUGCAAGUCGAACGGAAAGGCCCUGCUUUUGUGGGGUGCUCGAGUGGCGAACGGGUGAGUAACACGUGAGUAACCUGCCCUUGACUUUGGGAUAACUUCAGGAAACAGGGGCUAAUACCGGAUAGGAGCUCCUGCUGCAUGGUGGGGGUUGGAAAGUUUCGGCGGUUGGGGAUGGACUCGCGGCUUAUCAGCUUGUUGGUGGGGUAGUGGCUUACCAAGGCUUUGACGGGUAGCCGGCCUGAGAGGGUGACCGGCCACAUGGGGACUGAGAUACGGCCCAGACUCCUACGGGAGGCAGCAGUGGGGAAUAUUGCACAAUGGGCGGAAGCCUGAUGCAGCAACGCCGCGUGCGGGAUGACGGCCUUCGGGUUGUAAACCGCUUUCGCCUGUGACGAAGCGUGAGUGACGGUAAUGGGUAAAGAAGCACCGGCUAACUACGU
rnacentral:rRNA from 1 species